GACUCUCGGCAACGGAUAUCUCAGCUCUCGCAUCGAUGAAGAACGUAGCGAAAUGCGAUACUUGGUGUGAAUUGCAGAAUCCCGUGAACCAUCGAGUCUUUGAACGCAAGUUGCGCCGAGGCCUCCUGGUCGAGGGCACGUCUGCCUGGGUGUCA
rnacentral:rRNA from 1 species